UUGGAGAAGAAAUUUUGACGGUAUCUGAGGAAUAAGCAUCGGCUAACUCCGUGCCAGCAGCCGCGGUAAUACGGAGGAUGCAAGCGUUGUCCGGAAUCAUUGGGCGUAAAGGGCCCUGAGGUGGUUUGCUCAGUCCACUGUGAAAGUUCAGGGCUUACCCUUGAAAAUGCGGUGGAAACUAGUAGGCUAGAGUACGGUGGGGGCAGAGGGAAUUCCCGAUGUAGCGGUGAAAUGCAUAGAUAUCGG
rnacentral:rRNA from 1 species